rnacentral:misc_RNA from 1 species
UGGGGUUUUCUUCUACAAAGUAGGAGAAUGGAGGAAAUCGAUACUUGCUUUACGCUUCAACAGAAAAGUCAUGCUUUCUCUCUCUUUCUCUCUCUCUACUAAGUGUUAGCUAGUUAGUUUGACAUUGUGACUUUUCAAUAUUACAGUUAUUUGUUGCAACUUUUUAAUUUAACCACCUUUUUUUUUCUUCUCCUUUUAAUAUUCUUAAUUGUUUGACAAAUUUUAGCGAAAGUUUCCUGCAAAUGCACGAUGGCAACACCAUUUAAUAACUAGAUUCCAUAUUAUACUUAAUAUUAUAAAUAAGAGUUAGAGAGCACCAGCUUUUUUUUAUUCUUUAGUUUAUUCACAUUAUGUAUUUGUUAUUCUUUACAUGAUUAUGUUACCUAGC